GAUGAACGCUGGCGGCGUGCCUAAUACAUGCAAGUCGAGCGAACAGACGAGGAGCUUGCUCCUCUGACGUUAGCGGCGGACGGGUGAGUAACACGUGGAUAACCUACCUAUAAGACUGGGAUAACUUCGGGAAACCGGAGCUAAUACCGGAUAAUAUAUUGAACCGCAUGGUUCAAUAGUAAAAGACGGUCUUGCUGUCACUUAUAGAUGGAUCCGCGCCGCAUUAGCUAGUUGGUAAGGUAACGGCUUACCAAGGCAACGAUGCGUAGCCGACCUGAGAGGGUGAUCGGCCACACUGGAACUGAGACACGGUCCAGACUCCUACGGGAGGCAGCAGUAGGGAAUCUUCCGCAAUGGGCGAAAGCCUGACGGAGCAACGCCGCGUGAGUGAUGAAGGUCUUCGGAUCGUAAAACUCUGUUAUUAGGGAAGAACAAAUGUGUAAGUAACUAUGCACGUCUUGACGGUACCUAAUCAGAAAGCCACGGCUAACUACGUG
rnacentral:rRNA from 1 species